rnacentral:rRNA from 1 species
UUGGUCAUUUAGAGGAAGUAAAAGUCGUAACAAGGUUUCCGUAGGUGAACCUGCGGAAGGAUCAUUAUCGAGAGAGGGGGCUUCGUGCUCCCGGGGGGUUUCGGCCCCCGAUUCUUCACCCCAUGGCUACCUUCCUUCGUUUCUUUGGCGAGCCACGAGGCUUCUGUCUCGCGUCGAAUCUGGGGCUUCGUGGCUUCAGUUGGGGGGUGCGCUCGCCAGAGACCCGUUAAAUUCUGUAUUAUUAGUGAUGUCCGAGUAGAAACAACAAAAGUUAAAAACUUUCAACAACGGAUCUCUUGGUUCUGGCAUCGAUGAAGAACGCAGCGAAAUGCGAUAAGUAAUGUGAAUUGCAGAAUUCAGUGAAUCAUCGAAUCUUUGAACGCACAUUGCGCCCCCCGGUAUUCCGGGAGGCAUGCCUGUUCGAGCGUCAUUGCACCUCUCAAGCGUAGCUUGGUAUUGGGUUUUCGUCCCUCGGGCGUGCCCGAAAAGCCGUGGUGGUCCGGGGUGGAUUCAAGCGUAGUAAUUUUCAUCAACCGCUUAGGAUGAAGCCUCGCGGCCAGCCAACAACCGCCCAACUUUCAAAGACGUUGACCUCGGAUCAGGUAGGGAUACCCGCUGAACUUAAGCAUAUCAAUAAGGCGGAGG